rnacentral:rRNA from 1 species
GACGAACGCUGGCGGCGUGCCUAAUACAUGCAAGUCGAGCGAAUGACGAGAAGCUUGCUUCUCUGAUUUAGCGGCGGACGGGUGAGUAACACGUGGGCAACCUGCCCUACAGAUUGGGAUAACUCAGGGAAACCUGGGCUAAUACCGGAUAAUCCUUCGAAUCACAUGUUUUGAAGUUGAAAGGCGCUUCGGCGUCACUGUAGGAUGGGCCCGCGGUGCAUUAGCUAGUUGGUGGGGUAACGGCCUACCAAGGCAACGAUGCAUAGCCGACCUGAGAGGGUGAUCGGCCACAUUGGGACUGAGACACGGCCCAAACUCCUACGGGAGGCAGCAGUAGGGAAUCUUCCACAAUGGACGAAAGUCUGAUGGAGCAACGCCGCGUGAGUGAUGAAGGUUUUCGGAUCGUAAAACUCUGUUGUGAGGGAAGAACAAGUACGUUAGGAAAUGAACGUACCUUGACGGUACCUUAUUAGAGAGCCACGGCUAACUACGUGCCAGCCGCCGCAGUAA